UACGUAGGGGGCUAGCGUUGUCCGGAAUCAUUGGGCGUAAAGAGCGUGUAGGCGGUCCGGUAAGUCCGCUGUGAAAGUCGGGGGCUCAACCCUCGAAUGCCGGUGGAUACUGUCGGGCUAGAGUGCGGAAGAGGCGGAGUGGAAUUCCUGGUGUAGCGGUGAAAUGCGCAGAUAUCAGGAGGAACACCUAUUGCGAAGGCAGCUCGCUGGGACGUAACUGACGCUGAGACGCGAAAGCGUGGGGAGCAAACAGG
rnacentral:rRNA from 1 species